rnacentral:tRNA from 1 species
GUUUAUAUAGUUUAAUUUAAAACCUUACAUUUUCAUUGUAAAAAUAAAGACACAUCUUUUAUAAAUA